ACAACCGGUUCCGUAGGUGACCUGCGGAAGGAUCAUUACAGAGUUCAUGCCCGAAAGGGUAGACCUCCCACCCUUGUGUAUUAUUACUUUGUUGCUUUGGCGAGCUGCCUUCGGGCCUUGUAUGCUCGCCAGAGAAAACCAAAACUCUUUUUAUUAAUGUCGUCUGAGUACUAUAUAAUAGUUAAAACUUUCAACAACGGAUCUCUUGGUUCUGGCAUCGAUGAAGAACGCAGCGAAAUGCGAUAAGUAAUGUGAAUUGCAGAAUUCAGUGAAUCAUCGAAUCUUUGAACGCACAUUGCGCCCCUUGGUAUUCCGGGGGGCAUGCCUGUUCGAGCGUCAUUUCAACCCUCAAGCUUAGCUUGGUAUUGAGUCUAUGUCAGUAAUGGCAGGCUCUAAAAUCAGUGGCGGCGCCGCUGGGUCCUGAACGUAGUAAUAUCUCUCGUUACAGGUUCUCGGUGUGCUUCUGCCAAAACCCAAAUUUUUCUAUGGUUGACCUCGGAUCAGGUAGGGAUACCCGCUGAACUUAAGCAUAUCAA
rnacentral:rRNA from 1 species